rnacentral:miRNA from 1 species
UGGUGUGCUUGUUUGGAUGUGG